rnacentral:lncRNA from 1 species
GCUGCAGACACUGGGGAAGGGAGAGGGUGGCCCUGAUCCCGAUGACUCUGAAACAUGCUUGCCCUUCCCCAGAGGUUCCUGCUCCCAGCCCAGGCCCAGAUGGCGACACAAGCUCAUGGGGAGUGAAGGGACAGGAUGGAGCGGGGGUGGCGCCAAGGCACGGGGAGAACCAGAGGCCGCGGGAAUGGCAGACUCUGGACGUGCUCCUAGAGAUGGGAGGUCAAAAUGAUCAACGUCCAGGGUCCCUUCAUCUCAGAGGGUCUCGAGUCACUUCAUUUAAAGUAUGGCCUGGGAGAUCUCCCAUCCAGCCAUACGCUGCCCAGGACUGGCUCAACACCUCCCACCCACCACCGCUGGUUCACCCAUGACACGUCACCUCCCACCCGCCACUACUGGCUCACCUGUAACACCCCAGGCAGCUCAGAUGCCCAGCAGGUCCUGCUGGUGAGAGGGAGGCCGCAACCUGUCCUGUCUGGGACCUGGGCAUUGCUGGGCGCCGGAGGGACCUGGGACCUCAACCACACUGGGAGCUGGCCUGUCGUACAGGCGGUGCCUGGCAGAUGUGGAC